ACGGAGGGUGCGAGCGUUAUCCGGAUUUAUUGGGUUUAAAGGGUGCGUAGGCAGUUUGUUAAGUCAGCGGUGAAAGUUUUCAGCUUAACUGGAAAAAUGCCGUUGAUACUGAGAGGCUGGAAUAUGGUUGCUGUGGGUGGAAUGUGUGGUGCGACGGCGAAAUGCUUAGAUAUCACACAGAAUCUCGAUUGCGAAGGAAGCACACAAAGCCAUUAUUGAAGCUGAUGCGGGAAAGUGUGGGGAUCAAACAG
rnacentral:rRNA from 1 species